rnacentral:rRNA from 1 species
CCCUUAGAUGUUCUGGGCCGCACGCGCGCUACACUGUUUGAUUCAGCGAGUCUUAACCUUGACCGAAAGGUUUGGGUAAUCUUCUAAAGUCAAACGUGAUGGGGAUCGAUCAUUGCAAUUAUUGAUCGCGAACGAGGAAUUCCUAGUAAAUGCAAGUCAUCAGCUUGCGUUGAUUACGUCCCUGCCCUUUGUACACACCGCCCGUCGCUACUACCGAUUGAAUGGUUUAGUGAGAUCUCCGGAUUGGCUCUGUAGGUCCCGCAAGGGAUUUAUUAGUAGCCAAGAAGCUGCUCAAACUUGAUCAUUUAGAGGAAGUAAAAGUCGUAACA